rnacentral:rRNA from 1 species
AGUGAACGCUGGCGGUAGGCCUAACACAUGCAAGUCGAACGGCAGCACAGUAAGAGCUUGCUCUUACGGGUGGCGAGUGGCGGACGGGUGAGGAAUACAUCGGAAUCUACUUUUUCGUGGGGGAUAACGUAGGGAAACUUACGCUAAUACCGCAUACGACCUACGGGUGAAAGCAGGGGAUCUUCGGACCUUGCGCGAUUGAAUGAGCCGAUGUCGGAUUAGCUAGUUGGCGGGGUAAAGGCCCACCAAGGCGACGAUCCGUAGCUGGUCUGAGAGGAUGAUCAGCCACACUGGAACUGAGACACGGUCCAGACUCCUACGGGAGGCAGCAGUGGGGAAUAUUGGACAAUGGGCGCAAGCCUGAUCCAGCCAUACCGCGUGGGUGAAGAAGGCCUUCGGGUUGUAAUGCCCUUUUGUUGGGAAAGAAAAGCAGCAGGUUAAUACCCCGCUGUUCUGACGGUACCCAAAGAAUAAGCACCGGCUAACUUCGUG